rnacentral:rRNA from 1 species
UACGUAGGGGGCAAGCGUUGUCCGGAAUCAUUGGGCGUAAAGAGCGCGUAGGCGGCCCUGUAAGUCCGCUGUGAAAGUCAAGGGCUCAACCCUUGGAUGCCGGUGGAUACUGCAGGGCUAGAGUCCGGAAGGGGCGAGUGGAAUUCCUGGUGUAGCGGUGAAAUGCGCAGAUAUCAGGAGGAACACCGAUGGCGAAGGCAGCUCGCUGGGACGGUACUGACGCUGAGGCGCGAAAGCGUGGGGAGCAAACAGG